AUUGAACGCUGGCGGCAUGCCUUACACAUGCAAGUCGAACGGCAGCACGGGAGCAAUCCUGGUGGCGAGUGGCGAACGGGUGAGUAAUAUAUCGGAACGUGCCCAGUCGUGGGGGAUAACGCAGCGAAAGCUGUGCUAAUACCGCAUACGAUCUACGGAUGAAAGCCGGGGAUCGCAAGACCUCGCGCGAUUGGAGCGGCCGAUAUCAGAUUAGCUAGUUGGUGAGGUAAAGGCUCACCAAGGCGACGAUCUGUAGCUGGUCUGAGAGGACGACCAGCCACACUGGAACUGAGACACGGUCCAGACUCCUACGGGAGGCAGCAGUGGGGAAUUUUGGACAAUGGGCGAAAGCCUGAUCCAGCAAUGCCGCGUGCAGGAUGAAGGCCUUCGGGUUGUAAACUGCUUUUGUACGGAACGAAACGGUGAGCUCUAAUACAGUUUGCUAAUGACGGUACCGUAAGAACAAGCACCGGCUAACUACGUGCCAGCCGCCGCAGUAA
rnacentral:rRNA from 1 species